rnacentral:lncRNA from 1 species
GAAGAAAAAACACACAAAGAAUGCGUUUAUUUCUUCUUUUUUAAUCUCAAGAACACAGAAGAAUGCCUUCAGAUAAGGAGAGACAGAGCUUCCUAUGACAGCAGGAAGGUUUGAAUCUGCUGUCAUUUAAAAUCCCAUUCCAAAGGUCAUGUUUGUGUUUUAAAUGAAAUGCGAGGCUGACCUUUAUGCUCUGCCAGACAACAGUAGUAGUGAUGCAAGUGCUUCCUUUGAAUUCUGCAGGCUGAUUUUGUGCAGCGGGCUUUCCUUCAGAAGUGGCACGUGAGCUCUGCCUCUCCUGUCCUGCCGGUGCACCUUCUGUCCUACAUGACCAAGAUCCUACCCUGGGACGGAAUCAGAUGCUUGCCUAAAUGUUGCUGCACAGAAGUUUCCCACUGCACACAGGCAAGGUGUGAUGGGUGUUACCUCGAUGGGAUGAUACCUGUGAGCAAUAGGCAUCUGGAGCACAGCUGUGCAGGAGCCUGCAG